CUUGAUUGCUCCUUGUACCUCCCUCGAACCAACACCCCAGUCGCCUUCAUAGUUCAGUGCCCAAAGAGCAGGGUUGUUUUGUUUUGUUUUCCUGUUUGGUGAACUUCUGUAUCCAAAGUUCCUAAAAUAGAGCCUGGCACUUAAUGGGUGUUCAGUAUUUAUUUAACUACCUCUUUGUCUACACUUCAAGUCAGGAUUCAGCCAAUGGGCCUCCCUAGAGCAGGACCGAAGUUUUCUCUACCUGGGAGCUGGACCAGUCACUUCUACGAAACAGAUUGAGGAAUGUGCAGAGGGAAGAGAAGGUGGGGAGCCUGUUACUUCCCACAGCUUGGGUACCUCUGUUUUCCAGGUUGCUGAGGGCCCACUGGUUUACAGCUGAGCCCUGUGUGUGUAUGUGGUGUCUCCCACUGGCUGAACCCAGCAGAAGAGAAUCCAGCACAGAAAGAGAUCAGUGACGAUGAGAGAGGAAGAAUGUAGGGGUCAAAUGGAGAAUAAUUUUGCAGCAUAUUGGGCUACAUUCUGAACAUAGCAUUACCCUCUGCAAAAUGGGGAUGAGAAUACCGACUUGAAA
rnacentral:lncRNA from 1 species